rnacentral:lncRNA from 1 species
CCUAAACAUUAUUGGCGAUUUUGGACCGGCGCAAAUUCCUACGUUUGAAAUAUUUUUCCCGCCAAUUACUUGGGGUGGCUAUUUUAAAAAAAUGGUGCCUAAACUUUGUGGCGGCCUUGAAGACGCCGCAAGUUCCUCCCUAUGAAAUUUUUUUCCUCCUAUAUUUUGCGAUGGCUUAAAACUUCUGCUAAUUCCUCAGUUUAAUUUUUUUUUUCCGCAUCUUUUUGGUUUAAAACCGCCACUAAAGCUGCCGGAAAUGACCGAAG